AACGAACGCUGGCGGCAUGCCUAACACAUGCAAGUCGAACGAGACCUUCGGGUCUAGUGGCGCACGGGUGCGUAACGCGUGGGAACCUGCCCUUAGGUUCGGAAUAACUCCCCGAAAGGGGUGCUAAUACCGGAUAAUGUCUUCGGACCAAAGAUUUAUCGCAUUUGGAUGGGCCCGCGUUGGAUUAGCUAGUUGGUAGGGUAAAAGACUACCAAGGCGACGAUCCAUAGCUGGUCUGAGAGGAUGGUCAGCCACACUGGGACUGAGACACGGCCCAGACUCCUACGGGAAGCAGCAGUGGGGAAUAUUGGACAACGGGCGAAAGCCUGAUCCAGCAAUGCCGCGUGAGUGAUGAAGGCCUUAGGGUUGUAAAGCUCUUUUACCCGGGAUGAUAAUGACAGUACCGGCAGAAUAAGCUCCGGCUAACUCCGUG
rnacentral:rRNA from 1 species